CAUGCAAUGAUAGAUGCUCAAUCUCAUAUUCUAUUCUGUAAUCAAUAGUGAUGAUCGCUAAUCCCUUCCCAGUGGUAAAAAUAUAAAUAACGAUACCUGGAAUACUUCCCGGUUAAAAUGCUGCAUCGGUAUUAAUCUGUGCGCUUGCAGAUCCCAUUCAUUAUUUAUUUAAAAGAGCAAUUGCAUAUUUCAAUACCGCGUCUCUUAUAUCAUGCUGGGGAUGACAACUUGGCUUAAGUGGUGUGAGGGAUAGGUUUGGCAUUUUUGGCACCGUUACU
rnacentral:lncRNA from 1 species